CUAGCACUUUGCUUUUAUGUGGGAACUGUGUGUGUGUGUGUGUGUGUGUGUGUGUGUGUGUGUGUGUGUGUGUGUGUGUGUCUCAAUAUUUAUGAACUCAGUGUACAUUAUUCUGCUUUUCUCCUCUCCUCUCCUCCCCUCCCCCUUCUCUCUCUCUCUCUCUUCCUCUCCCUUUUUCCGUCUCCUCCUCCUCCGUCCCUUUCUUAAUUCUCUCUCACUCUGUUAUCUUUUUAUAUCGCUCAGCCUCUCUCUUGACACACAAGAAUGCUCGAGAGUCCAAGGUCACAGGAAUAACAACGGUGAAUUAGGGGCUCGGGGAGGAUUGCCCUUUUAAGAUGCUCGUGUACAAAUCACUACCAGUCAAUAAUCGUGCAACUGAUCUGGUCAUUUGAUCUGUUUCGGCACACAGAUCAUGGAACCUUUGAAGGCUGCUUUAAAAUUGCUCCUGGUGAUUGAUGGAUGUGUUGAUUCAUGUUUCGGAAGGCAGGGGUCCUCUGAUCCAUGAGCGUUGAGUCAUGUCUAAUCUGAUUAAAAAGGCCUCGAUAAGUGACACACA